UAAGGCAAAAUCGCCAGAAGUUACUGAGGUGAAUGCUGUGCAAGCAGCAGCAGCUUUUCUGGGGCCUGUGGCAGUGGUGGUGUUCCUGCAAGCUCAAGAUUUGUUCUAGGUUAUCUGUUGAAACCCAGCCAGGUCUUUGGUGGAAAAAUCCCUGCCUUUUGUCUACAUUUCACUUCUGCAGCAUCAGCCAGACUGUUUCCAUAUAAAAGACGUGACUGGAAUUUGCAGCAGUGGGGAUUUCAGUAGGGGGGCACUAAAACCUGCACAGCCUCCUUUGGUGGGAUCUUAUGCUGCGCUGGCAUUUCGGGAAACCUGAAAGCUAGAAGACACUGCUUUAGGAAAAAGGCAAAUCCUCUGCUCUCAGCUGCACAGGAGACUACUUUCUGUUCCAGCUUGAAGUCCUUUGGUCUGAUUCAGAUUCAUGCACUGCCCAACUGGAGUGGAGAGGAAGAAACAAUUGCACCCAGAAAUCAAACAGUGUCUGAGAGGCAUUUGGUGGUUUAUAUUUAUGGGAAAAAAAGCUGGUGUUCCCACUUCCAUGAGCAUCAGUGUGGCUGGUUUGAAGGGCUGGCCUCAGCUCUGUUCCCUGUCCCCAGUGCUCAGGGGGAAGGUCCUCUUUACUGUCAGACACAAAACUUCUUGGGUGAUGUGGUGCUGGAAUUGCCUGCAAAACCUUCAGGAAUGAGCAGACUUUUCAGAGAGACUGGAACACAUAACUGGAAAGGAUCACCUGCUUACCUGAGAAUGCCUUCAGAGUAUUUUGAUGAUACUUUUUUGUGAAAUAUUUUGGGUUUGCUAAAAGAGAAAAGUAAGUAGUUUCUCUCUAAUAUACUUCAAAUAUAUUAUUUUUUCAUUUAUCAUAAUCAUAGCUGUCUGUACUCAUGAUUUUUUGCUUUUAUCUUUGUUUGCAAUUCAUAGGGUGAGGUUUUUUCCCCAAUUU
rnacentral:lncRNA from 1 species